GACGAACGCUGGCGGCGUGCUUAACACAUGCAAGUCGAACGGAAAGGCCCCAGCUUGCUGGGGUACUCGAGUGGCGAACGGGUGAGUAACACGUGGGUGAUCUGCCCUGCACUCUGGGAUAAGCCUGGGAAACUGGGUCUAAUACCGGAUAGGACCGUGCUUUAGUGUGUGCGGUGGAAAGUUUUUCGGUGCAGGAUGAGCCCGCGGCCUAUCAGCUUGUUGGUGGGGUAAUGGCCUACCAAGGCGGCGACGGGUAGCCGGCCUGAGAGGGUGUACGGCCACAUUGGGACUGAGACACGGCCCAGACUCCUACGGGAGGCAGCAGUGGGGAAUAUUGCACAAUGGGCGCAAGCCUGAUGCAGCGACGCCGCGUUGGGGAUGACGGCCUUCGGGUUGUAAACCCCUUUCGGCAGGGACGAAGCUUUUGUGACGGUACCUGCAUAAGAAGCACCGGCUAACUACGU
rnacentral:rRNA from 1 species